UACGGAGGGGGCUAGCGUUGUUCGGAAUUACUGGGCGUAAAGCGCACGUAGGCGGGUUUGUAAGUUAGAGGUGAAAGCCCGGGGCUCAACUCCGGAAUUGCCUUUAAGACUGCAUCGCUAGAAUUGUGGAGAGGUAAGUGGAAUUCCGAGUGUAGAGGUGAAAUUCGUAGAUAUUCGGAAGAACACCAGUGGCGAAGGCGACUUACUGGACACAUAUUGACGCUGAGGUGCGAAGGCGUGGGGAGCGAACGGG
rnacentral:rRNA from 1 species